AGGCCCUCAGAGAAAGAGUGUGUUCCUGGGGCUGGUAAAAAGGAACCAGAUCAACUUGGAACUGGAUUUGGUCCCCUUCAACCAGCUGUAGUGGCACAUAAAUCAGCAGCCUGGGAGA
rnacentral:pre_miRNA from 14 species